GACGUAGGGUCCAAGCGUUGUCCGGAUUUACUGGGCGUAAAGGGCGCGUAGGCGGCCAGCACAAGUCAGUUGUGAAAUCUCCGAGCUUAACUCGGAAAGGUCAACUGAUACUGUGCGGCUAGAGUGCGGAAGGGGCAACUGGAAUUCUUGGUGUAGCGGUGAAAUGCGUAGAUAUCAAGAGGAACACCUGCGGCGAAGGCGGGUUGCUGGGCUGACACUGACGCUGAUGCGCGAAAGCCAGGGGAGCGAACGGG
rnacentral:rRNA from 1 species